rnacentral:rRNA from 1 species
GACGAACGCUGGCGGCGUGCUUAACACAUGCAAGUCGAACGGAAAGGCCCUGCUUUUGUGGGGUGCUCGAGUGGCGAACGGGUGAGUAACACGUGAGUAACCUGCCCUUGACUUUGGGAUAACUUCAGGAAACUGGGGCUAAUACCGGAUAGGAGCUCCUGCUGCAUGGUGGGGGUUGGAAAGUUUCGGCGGUUGGGGAUGGACUCGCGGCUUAUCAGCUUGUUGGUGGGGUAGUGGCUUACCAAGGCUUUGACGGGUAGCCGGCCUGAGAGGGUGACCGGCCACAUUGGGACUGAGAUACGGCCCAGACUCCUACGGGAGGCAGCAGUGGGGAAUAUUGCACAAUGGGCGGAAGCCUGAUGCAGCAACGCCGCGUGCGGGAUGACGGCCUUCGGGUUGUAAACCGCUUUCGCCCGUGACGAAGCGCGAGUGACGGUAAUGGGUAAAGAAGCACCGGCUAACUACGUG